rnacentral:lncRNA from 1 species
GCCAGUCUUCUGCCACUCCUUUUCGUGGUCCUUCCCUUCACUGCCUUCCUUCUCCCAGACAGACUGGGCAUCCAGUUCCAAUCCAAAGGCUGCCCCUUUGACCAGGCCCAUCUUCUCCACCUCACAUCAGACAGCCAAUCGGCUGCCCAGACCUCGAAACCUCAGUAACCUAGAAGGUAAGGACUUUCAGAUUUCACCAGGAAGGAUUAUCCCUUCAUGCCUUAUAAAAGUAACAGAACCGGUCGGGCACAGUGGCUCAUGCCUGUAAUCCCAGCACUUUGGGAGGCCAAGGCAGAUGGAUCACCUGAGAUCAGGAGUUUGAGACCAGCCUGGCCAACAUGGUGAAACCCCCUCUCUACUAAAAAUACAAAAAAUUAGCCAGUCAUGGUGGCACACGCCUGUAGUCCUAGCUACUUGGGAGGCUGAGGCAGGAGAAUCACUUGAACCAGGGAGGCGGAGGUUGCAGUGAGCCAAGACCUCAUCAUUGCACUCCAGCCUGGGCAGCAAGAGUGAAACUCUGUCUCAAAAAAUAAAUAAAUAAAUAAAAACUAAUAGAACCUAUCAAUUCAUAGGAAAUGGACCUUGGCAAACGUGUGUCAGGAGAGGAUGACUUGGAGGUGUCCACCGUGUUUCUUACUGAAGGUUUGUUCAAACCUAGAAAUUCACUUGGGACAGCUUAUGAGCCCUCUCCUAUUCUUGGGAAAGCUUUUAAAUUGUCUGACAAAGUCUGUACCCCUGGAGCAUGGGUUAGUUUGUUGAAGUCCACAGACCACACAGUUUCUUUGAAGGUGUGCAGCAUGAGGGUGAGUUCCUCUAUUGCCCACUGAUGGAGAACUCACUUAGGCUGUCUUUUCUCUCCUUCAGAUGUCUAAAAGUCAAUUGGGGUCAAGGAACAAGCCUCUACUCACAUGCAUGUGGGCAAAUGAAGUCACAGAACAAAUAACCUACCCUGCAUCCAGGUUAGAUCCUCCUGCACCAUUUCCUGCUUCUCUGCGGAUCCUGCAAUGUGGACCCCUGUCUGGAUGUGGUGCUGGGGAGGUGGCUCCUCCCUGUCCCAGAGGCCCAUCUCGUGUUCCCACACAGGCACGGAGUCCAGGGACACCCCCUGCUGCUGCCUAAGAGAAAGUGGCCCAAGAAGCACUGGCCCGGUGCCUGCUGAUGCCAGGAGCCCUCUGCUACUGCCUGACACAAGCAUCCUGCGCUUCCCCCUCCCAGGCCCUCCCCGAAAGCGUGGGCCACAGGUACCACUCCCUAUGCCACUGAGCCCCACAUUUCCCAUCCCCCAAGCCACUCCCACCAGCCCCAGAGCUUUCCUACAUUUAUGAUUUGUCCAAAAAUGUGAUGCCCUUCAGCCCCCAGAAGGUCAUCCUCCAGGCUGUGAUCGUCACACAGGGGGUCCCACAUGGGGUCCUCACAGGCCUUCAACCCAGCACAAAUCGUGGCCUGGUUUGACCUUUGAAAUAUCUCAACAUCUAAAAUUCAGAGCUUUUUUGGAAUAUUUAUUUUCCAUAGAUAUAAUUCUUUCAAAUAAAUUCCUUAGAAAACAAUAUCCAGUGUUUCAUUAUUUGUGCUAACAUGUGCUUUUCCCAUUUUGGAGAUGAAAAAUAUCAUUAGAAAUAAAAACUCAAGGGACAGAUUAAACAUCAGAUAAGAUGCAGUUAGCAGGCCGGGCGCAGUAAAGGUUGCAGUGAGCUGAGAUCGCGCCACUCCAGCCUGGGCGACAGAGCAAAACUCCAUCACCCACGCACAAAAAAGAUAAGAUGCAGGUAGCAGAGGGGCCAAGUGAACUCAAACAAGAUCUGAAGUGCAAUCUUCCUUAAGGAGUCCAGAGAUGGGUGACAGGACAUUUGAAGGAAAAGUUCCAACAGAGCACAGACAGGCUCUAGGAGAUCACACAGGGAAAGGGGAGGCUACAUCCAAGAGAUAAAGCUGAGAAUUUCCCAAAAUUGAUGGAAAACAGGAAUUCUCAGAGUGAGGGAUGCCACUGAAUCCCACAGAGGAUAAUUGAAAACAUCCACACUUAGUUACAUUGUAGCAAAAGCAUGAAACACUGAAGAUAAACCUUGAAAGCUGCUAGGGAAAAUAUCUGAUGAAUUGAAAUUAAAAAUGAUAAAAUUUAAUGAAAUAGUAUCAUUAACAUACUGAAAAAAAUCAGACAUCUCAGAUUUGUACGUUCAGCUAAUUAUUCAACAAUUAGGGAACUAUGAAGACUUUCAAGAUAAAAAGUUUACCAUGAGCAGACCUGGACUACAGGAAUGUCUUGCUAAAGAACGGUUUUGGUCUGGGCACUGUGGCUCAUGCCUGUAAUUCCAGCAUUUUGGGAGGCCGAGACAGAAGCAACACUUGAGGCCAGGAGUUCAAACCAGCCUAGCAAGACCCCCAUCUCUACAUAAAAGUUUUUAAAAAAUUAGCUGGGUGUGGUGUUACGCACCUGUAGCCCUAGCUAUUCAGGAGGCUAAGGUGGGAGGAUCACUUGAGGCUAGGAGUUUGAGGCUGCAGUGAGUUAGGAUAGCACCACUGCACUUCAGCCAGGGCAACAGAGCAACACUCUGUCUCAAAAAAAAAAAUAAAAUAAAAUAAAGCAGUGUUCCUUAAUCUUGGCACUCUUGACAUUUGGGACUGGAUAAUUCCUUGUUGUUGCGACAGCACUGGGCAGUGUAGAAUGUUUAGCAGUAUCCCCGUCCUCGAGAUGGGGAGGCUGGCACCUCAUGUAAAAUGUUUGGCCAGGUUGCAGCCUGUGUUAGCUUGGAGGGUGGAUCAUAAUUUGACCAAAUCUGUGGCAUUAGGAAAACGGCAAGAAUCCAGAAUGCUGGUUUUGUUGGCUCCUCCUUGGCUGCUUUUAACAAAGUCCUGUGAGAAAAGUGGUCUCUGGCUGGAGCUUGCCAGUGUGCAAGGAGAGCUAGAAGGAUCCAGAGUGUUGUUAAUGUAGGUAACCCCUGACUGGCCUGCCACACACAAACAGUUGAAUAAUUUGGUGCCUUGCAAGUUUGAAAAAAAUCAGCCACUCAUACACCCCAGCCAAGGCAGUUGUGAGCUGUGGCUCUGAAGAGGCAGUCUUUGUAGGAGAUAGCCCUGGUGCUGCUAGCAAAGACAAGAUUUUGGGUGUUGCUUCUCAUAGCAAGCCUAUGAUAUUAGUGAACAUGGAGAGAUCUGGCACAAUCAAGCGUUGCUAAAAGGAACUCAAAGGCCUGCUACAAAUUUCAUAGAGCUGGACAUAGGCCAUCCCCAGUGAGCCAGGACAAAAACUAGGCAGAGCCCAAUGUCCAUAAAGUGUGGGCUGGAUGGCUGAGCACGGUGGCUCAUGCUUGCAAUCCCAGCACUUUGGGAGGCUGAGGCGGGUGGAUCACCUGAGGUCAGCAGUUCGUGACCACUCCGGCCAACAUGGUGAAACCCCGUCUCUACUAAAAAUACAAAAAUUAGCCGGGUAUGGUGGCGCAUGCCUGUAAUCCCAGCUAUUUGGAAGGCUGAGGCAGGAGAAUCACUUGAACCUGCGAGGCGGAGGUUGCAGUGAGCCGAGAUACUACCACUAUACUCCAGCUUGGGUGACAGAGUAAGACUCCGUCUCAAAAAAAAAAAAAAAAAAAAAAAAAAAAGAAAGAAAGAAGAAAAAAAAAAGAGUGGGCUAGAGCUCCACAGUGGUAUCAUCAUACACAGAAUACCAUGAUAUAAUGAAAAUACAGCAUCAUCACAUGCAAUGACAUACAUAAAACUGACAAACGUAAUUUUGAGCAAAAAAUGCAAGACAGACAAUACUUUAUUACUUCAUUUCUAUAAAGUACAAAAACAGGCAAAAGUAAACCAUAUUUAAAGAUGUCUAUAACAGUGGUAAAUACUGUGUAAAGGUUGUCGGCUACUUCUGACCUAAAGGGUGAAAACAACCACAGACAAUAUGUAAAUGAAUGAAUAUAUCUGAAGAUUAUAUGAAAUUUAUUUUUUAUUUUUUAUUUUUUUGAGACAGGGUCGCUCUGUCUUCUGGGCACCAUUUCAGCUCACAGCAACCUCUGCCUCCUGUGUUCAAGCUAUUCUCCCAUCUUAGCCUCCCAGCUGGGAUUACAGGCAUGAGCCACUGCACGUGGCUACAUGUUUUGUAUUUUUAGUAGAGACGGGGUUUCACCAUGUUGGCCAGGCUGGUCUCGAACUCCUGACCUCAAGUGAUCCACCUGCCUCAGCCUCCCAAAGUGCUGAGAUUACAGGCGUUGAGCCACCAUGCCCAGCCCUUGAAAUUUAAAUUUCAAUGUCUCUAAAUGAAGUUUUAUUGGAACACAUCUACACUCAUUUGUGUGUGUGUGUCUGUGUGUGUGUGUGUGUGUGUGUGUGUGUGUGUGUGGAUGGAGAUAGAGAGAGAGGGAUUUAUGAAUUUAUGAUAAGGAAUUGGCUUAUAGAAUUAAGGAGGCUGGCAAGUCCCAAAUCUUCAGGGUGGAUGAGCAGGCUGGAGAACCAGGAGAAUACAUAUUCCAGUGAGAGCCCAGUGGCACCUGCUGUGGAGCAGGAUUAGUAGAUGGUGUGCAUGAACUCUGAAGGCAGUCUGCGGAAGAAUUCUCUCUUGCCUGAGAGAGAGUCUGGGGCAGCCAGACUUUAUGUUCUCCUCAGGUCUUCAGGUGAUUGGAUGAAGCCCACCCACAGAUAGAGGGCAAUCUGCUUUCCUCAAAGUCCACAAAUUUAAACGUUAAUCUCAUCCAAAGCAACCUCACAGAAACACCCAGCAUAAUGUUUGAUCAAAUACCUGGGGACCUUGUGGCUCAGCCAAGUUGACACCUAAAAUUUACCCUCACACUCCAGUCCUCCAACAUCCCAGCUUCCCUCUUACAUCCCUGAAUGGCAGAACCCAACAAGGAACCAGCUGGCGAAGCAGCAUCGUGCCUGUUCUUUGUUGCCUGUGUUUUUCAUUUUAAGUCGGUGGAGUUACAACCCAUGGAUUCCUUUGUGUCUGCUUCCUUUUCAUUAAAAUUCUGCUCAUGGAUUCAUCCCUGCAGUAGGUUCAUUUUCAGGUGGAAGUGUAGGAAGCACAGGAGAUCACAGAAGACCUCAGCAGGCCAGCUUUGCAACAUCCUAACAAGGAGACGGGAAACUGAAGUACCACAGGAAGGAGAUACUCUCCAUCUCUCACCACCCAAAGCUUCCUGGGAUGCUAAGGGUCAUCGUUCUUUUUUUUUUUUUUUCCCGCUCUGUUGUCCAGGCUGGAGUGCAGUGGCACUAUCUCGGCUCACCACAACGUCCGCCUCCCAGGUUCAAACGAUUCUCCUGUCUCAGCCUCCCCAGUAGCUGGGAUUUACAGGUGCCCGCUACCACGCCUGGCUACUUUUGUAUUUUUAGUAGAGACAGGGAGUUCAGACUGGUCUCGAACUCCCGUUCUCAGGUGAUCUGCCCACCUCAGCCUCCCAAAGUGUUGGGAUUACAGGUGUGAGCCACCGUGCCUGGCCUAAGCCUCACUGUUCUUUUCAUCUUUCCUGCUGAGACAGGAGAUUGAGGAUGUGGACAUUUUGUUGAGGAAAGAAAUAGGACAGACAACUCAAUGAAGUCUCAGAGAGCCAUUCUAAGAACCCAUGUUCUAUUUCCAGAACCCACGUCAGGCCAUUACUGGGGGGUCUGAUGGGGUUAUGAGAGAAAUGCCCAGGGAGGGAGACUGGAGAAGGUUCAGGGACCAAGUUCUGGCUUCUGCCCUUAGAGGAGCCGGACCUGCAGAGAGAGAGUGGGAAAGUGGAGAACCAUCAGCUCACUUUCCCUCACGCCAUGGCAAAAGCAUCUCCAUCAGGCAGGACUGGCUUCACAGGCAGGCAGCCUGGGCAGCCCUGCGGGGCCCCACACUUAGAAUGGCCUCCGCCUGCUAUCUUGCUCUGCUGUCAGGGUCUUGAAAUUCUGAAUGGUCUUGAACAUCAUGCACUGCACCUGGCAAAAUAGCCGGUCCUGAUCAGGUCUCAAGGCAGCCCUGGACUUUGGAAGGCAGCACUGACGCCCCACUGAGGAAAGGAAUGGCUGCUGAGGACUGAGAACUAGAGCUGAGACUCCCAGGCAGCCCCUUUGGAAAACAGUUUGGCAUUUCCCCAAAAUGUUAAAUGUGGAAUUAUGUGAUUCAGAAAAUCACAUACAAAAUUGUCUCGUGUCCCUUUUAAACAUAUAGAAUGUAACUAUUGGAAAGAGAGAGAAAAAGGGCCUGGCUUGGUGGCUCACUUCUGUAAUCCCAGCACUUUGGGAGGCUGAGGUGGGCAGAUCACUUGAGGUCAAGAGUUCAAGACCAAGCUGGCUAACAUGGUGAAACCCUGCCUUUACCAAAAAAAAAAAAAAAAAAAUUAGCCGGGCGUGGUGGCGCACACCUGUAGUCCCAACAGGCUGAGGAAGCAGCUUCACUUGUACCCAGGAGGUGCAGGUUGCAGUGAGCCAAGAUUGCCUCCACUCCAGCUCGAGCUACAGAGUGAGACUCUGUCUCAAAAAAGAAAAAAAAAAGAGAGAAAGAAGUUUUGGAAACAUUAUUUGCCCUUAGCCAUGUUGUGGGUUUAUUUCCUACACUGAGUCAUAUUAUGUGUCUUCCAACAUGUCUGGAGCAGUUGCUACUCCCUGUACACCAGGUCCAGUGACUAUAAUGUCAUCAAUAUAAUGGACCAGUGUGUCGUCCUGAGGGUGAAAAGGUUCUCAAAGGACCUGGGAACUAGAUCAUGAGCUGGGCGGCAGAGUUGAGGCAGCCUUGAGAUAGGGUGGUGAAGGUGUAUCUAGCUGAAAGCAAACUGUUCCUGAUGGUCUUUACUCACAGGUAUAGAGAAACAUUCACCAGAUGGGUAACUGGGCAGCCAAGGGGAUAAUCGGAUCGGGUGUGCCACACUUCGCCUGCCCCGCUUGCUUUUGGUUGCUUGCUCUUUGUUAUUUUUUCCCCCAUGAAGCUGAAGGCCACGAUAGCUGAAGGCUAUGCUAUUGAACACUGUAACUCAACUUUUACGUGCUACCUUAUAGAUAACAUUUAUAAGUCACCAUAACAACCACUUAUUUUUCAGGAACUUGGGGCAGAUCCUGUCCAGUUCAAACCAGUUGAGACUGCCAACCCUUCAACUGGGCCUGUACACAUGCCCAAGAGGUGGCCUUUUGACAUCAGAGGGCCAAAAACUCCACCCUCAGAUCAUGUUAACGCCACCAUUUUCUGCACAUAUGUCAUAUGAACCCCAAUUAUGACUGCAUUUUUCCCCACUGCCAAUCACCUUUCCCCAUGCCUCAGACCACCCUACUUCUCUAACCUAUAAAUCUCUCUAAGCCUCAUCUUUGGGGAGGUGAAUUUGAGAGCCAUUCUCCCAUCUCCUCACUGGACAGCCUUGUGAAUAAUUCUUCUCUCUUUUGCAAAACCCAUGUCACAGUGAUUGAUUUACUGUGUGAGAACAGAACAAACCUGGGCCUGGCUCAGUAACAACUGCAAACCAGUUGUCAGACGUAUCGUUUGCUCAGCACUGAAACCACAUGUGGAAACAGCACCUGCACUUGGAAUCACUAGUUAAUUAAGUUUACAAUUAAUCCAAUUGUCAUUCUCCAAGAUCCAUCUGUCUUCUGCACAGGCUGAGUAGGUGAGCUAAGUGGAGAUGUGUUCCCGUCUUUGAUGGUGGCACUAAUCUCAACAAUCUCUCCAGGAAUGUGGUAUUAGUUUGCUUUAAUAUUUUUGUGAAUGAGGCAGCUCUAGUGGCUUCUACUUGGCCUUUUCUACCAGAAUUACUUUUACUGUAUGGAUCAGGGAACUAGUGUGGGAUUCUGCCCAUUGUUGACUAUGUCUAUUCUAAUUACGCAUUCUAGAACCAGGGAAAUAACCAUAGGAUGGGUUCAGGAAUCUACUAGAUCUACUGUGAGAUGAAUCUGAGCCAAAAAGCCCAUUGAUCACCUGACCUCCAUACACUCUUACUCUGAGGAACCAUGGUGGCAUUUUGAGUCUCCUGUAAUUACUGCUAGUUCAGAACUAGAGGCUGGUUAUCCCAGAAAAGUCUAAUUAUUUGCCCUUCCCAAUGCACAAUCACUCUGAUAAAUGGCCUUGGGUGCCUUUGGGGAGGCCUAGGAAGAUAAAAAGUAUAAAUUAUUGUCAGUGCAGCAGGGUCCUACUUCAAAGGGACCUGGCCUAUCCUUUAUUCAAGAAGCUGUGGGUUUGUGAACUAGAUCAAGACUUGGAAUUGACUGAGUGAUUGUAACUCUGUGUUGGUAAUUUAGGUCAGACUUUAUUCACCAGAUCUGGAGCUUUCCUACUUACUCGGAUCAAGUAAAACUUUAGUAGGCAGCCCAUCCAUUUCAGUUCUCAGGACACUAUGAUCAGCAGGCAGACAUCACAGAUCUCUGUGGGUCAGACCAUUCAGGAUCCUGCUUUGGCUGCACUGUCCAUGGCAGUCACCACACCAAUUGUGUUUUUGGUGACUAAGUGUUACCAUAUGGUCCCUGCCUCCUCAGGAUUCCAUCAGCCCCACUGCACUUCAGGGAGCAUUUCCCACUGUAAUGUGGCCUGUAUAGAAUAUCUGGCACUCUCUACAUGAAUUUAUUUCUCAUAAUGAAGUGUCCUCUGGACCCUCCCUGGGUGGGUGAGCAGGUAUUUACAUGAUAAAUACUCAAGCAUUUUUAUCUCCUUAAGCAUUUACAUAUCUUCCUCUACAGUAUACCAACGAAGUUCUCGCAUUUCAACUCAUUCAGUGCAGGUUAUGUUUGCAUUCGUGUUUUUUUUUUCUUUUGGAGAUGAGUUCUCACUAUAUUGCCCAAGCCAGUCUCAAACUCCUGGCCUCAAGCAAUCCUCCCACCUCAGCCUCCCAAGCUGGGAUUACAGUGAGUCCAUAUCUCAACAACUCAAAGCAAAUGAAGACAGCCAUUCUCAGCUUCUCAAGUUAAAACAAUGAACCACAAAUCUCUGCUUAAUUAUCCCAUAUCGAAUAAUUCAGCUUGAUCUGACUUUAUAUUCCUUCCACGAUGAUCCUGCACCCUUGUUACCGCAAAAGGUUCCCAAUCCAGACCCCAAGAGAGGGUUCUUGGAUCUCGCACAAGAAAGAAUUCAGGGCGAGUCCGUAAAGAGAAAGCAAGUUUAUUAAGUAAAGGAAUAAAAGAAUGGCUACUCCAUAGACAGAGCAGCCCCGAGGGCUGCUGGUUGUCUAUUUUAUGGUUUCUUGAUGAUAUGCUAAACAAGGGGUGGAUUAUUCAUGCCUCCCCUCUCCAGGCCAUAUAGGGUAACUUCCUGAUGUUGCCAUGGCAACUGUAAACUGUCAUGGCACUGGUGGGAGGGUAGCAGUGAGGAUGACCAGAGGUCAUUCUCAUCACCGUCUUGGUUUUGGUGGGUUUUAGCUGGCUUCUUUACUGCAACCUGCUUUAUCAGCAAGGUCUUUGUGGCCUGGAUCUUGUGCCAAUCUCCUAUCUCAUCCCGUGACUUAGAAUGCCUUAACCGUCUGGGAAUGCAGCCCAGUAGGUCUCAGCCUCAUUUUGUUACAGGAAAGGGGUCCCGAUCCAGACUCUUAAGAGAGUUCUUGGAUCUCGUGCAAGAAAGGAUUCAGGGCAAGUCCGCAGUGCAAAGCAAAAACAAGUUUAUUAAGAAAGUAAAGUGGUGAAAGGACAGCUACUCCAUAGAGUAGGAUGGAGUAACCUCUAACCUGAGGUCAGUCAAGUGUCCUUGCCUUUUAUUAAGAGGGGCCUCUAACUCACUCUGUCUUAGGAGAAACUCCAACUCCCCUAAGUUGGGCCUCUAACCCAAUCCCAUUUGUUACUCGGGUACCCCAUCACUUACCCAAAGUCGUCCAAUCAGUGCUGCAGUCUAUUUCUUUGGGGUUGGGGGGAUUUCUUCAGUAUCAUCCUUUCUGUGGUUUGCCAGAAAUAUGUUACAGGACCCCAACACUUACGCAAAGGUAGCCGUUGGGUCAACGUUUCUGCACUAUAGUCCCUUCUGUGGUCACCAGAAAUAUGUUACAGGAAAGGGGUCCCAAUUCAAUCCUAGAGGGUAGGAAUGCCUAACUUUCUGAGAAUGCAGGCCAGUAAGUCUCAGCCUCAUUUUCCCAGCCCUCACUCAAAAUGGAGUCGCUCUGGUUCAAAUACCUCUGACACUUUUACCCAGCCCCUAUUCAACAUGGAGUUGCUCUCGUUCCAAUGCUUCUGACGCUAUCUCUACAGAUUCCCCAGGUUUCUAUAAAAAUUGGCAAAAUUAUGCAAUUUGGAGAGUACUGUAUCUCCUCAGUCACAUUUUGCACUUCACUUUUUUUUUUUUUUAAUUGAGACAAAGUUUCACUCUGUCGCCCAGGCUGGAGUGCAGUUGUGCGAUCUCGGCUCACUGCAACUUCCACCUCCUGGGUUCAAGUGAUUCUCCUGCCUCAGCCUCCCCAGUAGCUAGGAUUACAGGCACACACCACCACACCCGGCUAAUUUUUGUAUUUUUAAUAGAGAUGGGGUUUCACCAUAUUGGCCAGGCUGGCUGGUCUCAAUCUCCUGAUCUCGUGAUCUGCCCGCCUCAGCCUCCCGAGUAGCUGGGACUACAGGCGCCCGCUGCCACGCCCGGUUAAUUUUUUGUAUUUUUACUAGAGACGGGGUUUCACCGCGUUAGCCAGCAUGGUCUCGAUCUCUUGACCUCGUGAUCUGCCCGCCUCAGCCUCCCAAAGUGCUGGGAUUACAGGUGUGAGCCACCGUGCCUGGCCAAAAAAAUAAUUUUUUUAAAAGGACUCCAGGCAAUGAUAGACUGGAUUAAGAAAAUGUGGCACACAUACACCAUGGAAUACUAUGCAGCCAUAAAAAAUGAUGAGUUCAUGUCCUUUGUAGGGACAUGGAUGAAGGUGGAAAUAAUCAUUCUCAGUAAACUAUCGCAAGAACAAAAAACCAAACACCGCAUAUUCUCACUCAUAGGUGGGAAUUGAACAAUGAGAAAACAUGGACACAGGAAGGGGAACAUCACACUCUGGGGACUGUUGUGGGGUGGGGGGAGGGGGGGAGGGAUAGCAUUGGGAGAUAUACCUAAUGCUAGAUGAUGAGUUAGUGGGUGCAGCGCACCAGCAUGGCACAUGUAUACAUAUGUAACUAACCUGCACAUUGUGCACAUGUACCCUAAAAGUAUAAAAAAAAAAAAAACAAGGACUCCAGGCAUGGUGGCUCACACCUGUAAUCCCAGCACUUUGGCAAGCUGAGGCAGGUGGGUCACUUGAGGUCAGGAGUUCAAGACCAGCUUGGGCAACAUGGCCAAACCUUGUCUCUACAAAAAUACAAAAAUUAGCUGGGUGUGGUGGUGCACGCUUGUAGUCCCAGCUAGUCAGGAGGCUGAGGCUGGAGAAUCGCUUGAGCCUGGGAAAGUGGAGGUUGCAGUGAGCUGAGAUCGUGCCACUGCACUCCAGCCUGGGUGACAGGGUGAGACCUUGUCUCAAAAAAAAAAAAAAAAAAAAAGCAAAACGCAAAAAGCAGUGGUGACCAUAGGUCAUGAGCAACGUCAGCGGACUUUUGGAAGACAUAUACCUCAGGGAAGGCCAUUACAUGUUCUUCAGGCAAAAGGUGGUUAACUAACACUCAAAGUCUCAUUGUGACCCUCCCUUCUGCUCCCUGCCCCAGCAUUAGUAGCUGGGACCUCUCCACAGAAGCACAGAUCCAAAGGCCACAGGGCCCCUCCCUGAGCACAGACACUAUGUCAGCCCAGCAGUCCACUCCUCCACCAUAGGUCUGAGUUCAGCUCCACAAGGUCCCUCUUCCAAUCUCCCACCUUUCAACAAUUCUAGCCACGUCUCUUUGUUCCUGCUUUGCACUUUGCUCCACAUGAGGUGGGAUCAAUAAACUACCAUCACUCAAAACUGGUUCGGAUGUUGAAACUGAUGACACUGCAGACACCAAGAGGUUAUGAAAAAGUUUACUACUCACAUGAGGCCUUCUAGGGAAAGCAAAGCGGGCACCCACGCCAGUCUGUUGGGCUUCAGUGAAAGGACGAACAAGUGGCUCUGGUUUUUGUUGUGGUUAUGAGAGCUCAGUGCAUUUGACAGUCAGGGUUUGCACAGUUUGAACUUCCCCUCUGACGCAAAGAGGAAGUGGCUGGGCUUUCUUAUCAGCUUGUCCAGAUCCAGGCAAACUGAGGGGGAGAGCUUGAAUGCUAUUAGCAGACAAACGUCAAACAUGGGGAGACUCUAUUCUAGCUCCCCCAGUCCUGGGGUGGCAGCUGCUUAGCAGUUGCUACCUCCAAGACACCUUGGCAUUUUCUUCUUGCCUUUUUAGCUACUUAAAUAUAGUACACUUCUUUAUAAGGUCUUUGCUAAAAUAACUGGUGUGGUUUCUGGCAACUAAAACCUGGCUGAUAUAAAAUCUCCUUGCUGUUCUUAGCAGGGUUAACAUUAACUUUAAAAGGUGUGGUAGCUGGCAUACAAGUAUUUACUCUCCUUUUCCUCAUCUAAUAAAGUAGAAUGAAAAACAUCUCCAUCUUCUGGAUCCCAUUUCUUCAUUAAAAUUAUGAGUUUACAGCUUCUGGCUUCACUUGUUAUUUAUUAAGCAAAAUUAAGGAGAUUUAGGCAAGGAGGAGCUUAUAAUUUCCUAUAAAGUGCAUGUCUUGGUGACUGUGCGUCAGUAUAUAGAGAACAUCCUCAUUUUUAAAAAAACUGUGGCCUGGUAUUUCAUCAUAGAUGUACUAGAGUUACUUAAGCGUUCGUUUACUAAUAGCCAUUUGUAUUGCUCCUGUUACCAGAAAGCGGUCGUGAUCCAGUCCCCAAGAGAGAGUUCUUGGACCUUGCUCAAGAAAAGAAUUCGGGCGAGUCCACAAAGUGAAAGUAGUUAAUAUUAAGAAAGUAAAGAAAUACAGAAUGGCUACUCCAUAGGAAGAGUAGCCCCAAGGGCUGCUGGUUGCCUAUUUUUAUGGUUAUUUAUUGAUUAUAUGCUAAACAAGGGGUAGAUUAUUCAUAAGUUUCCCGGGAAAGGUGUGAGCAAUUACCAGAACUGAGGGUUCCUCUCCUUUUUAGACCAUAUAGUGUUACUUCCUGAUGUUGCCAUGGCAUUUUUUUUUUUUUUUUUUGAGACAGAGUCUUGCUCUGUCACCCAGGCUGGAGUGCAGUGGCACCAUCUUGGCUCACUGCAACCUCCAACUCCCGGGAUCUAGAGAUUCUCCUGCCUCAGCCUCUCAAGUAGCUGGGAUUACAGGCACGUGCCACCAUGCCCAGCUAAUUUUUGUAUUUUUUAGUAGAGACAGGGUUUCACCAUGUUGGCCAGGCUGGUCUCAAUCUCCUGACCUCAUAAUCCGCCCGCCUUGGCCUCCCAAAGUGCUGGGAUUACAGGCAUGAGCCAUCGUGCCAGGCCUGCCAUGGCGUUUGUAAACUGUCAUGGCACUGGUGGGAGUGUCUGUUAGCAUGCUAAUGCAUUAUAAUUACAGUAUAAUUACAGCAGUGAGGACAACCAGAGGUCACUUUCAUUGCCAUCUUGGUUUUGACCGGCUUCUUUACCACAUGCUGUUUUAUUGGCAAGGUCUUUAUGACUGUAUCUUGUGCUGACCUCCUAUCUCAUCCCAUGACUUGGAAUGCCUAACCUCCUGGGAAUGCAGCCCAGUAGGUCUCAGCCUUAUUUUACCCAGUUCCCUAUUCAAGAUGGAGUCACUCUGGUUCAAACGCCUCUGACACUCCCAAUUUUUGCAGGUGAGGAAAUGGAAGCCUUGAAAGAUUAGGUGGCUCACUCUAAGUAACAUCAUGUACCUGGCAGGGAUUUCUAUAAAGUCAUAAGAUGUCAGAGACUAUGCUUAAGAAAUAUUUUUACUUUGAAACACUUUAAGCAAACAGUUAAAAAGUACCCACCACACUACCCUGUAAAAAUCUUAACAUUGUGAUGCCUCUGCAUCAAUUUUUAGAAAAAAACAAAGAAAACACAACUGAAGGCCCCAUGUACCCUCCCCAAAUCCAUCAGGUCUCCUGCCUUAGGAAGGCAGAAUGGUGACUUGCACACAUCGUUCCAAUACAUGAUUUUAUACUCAUUUCAUAUUAUUUGAAUCCACAGAAAAUAGAUUACUGUGCAAAACAAUAACACUUUCUAUAUGUCCACAAGGCUUACAUGCUAGACACUAUUCUAAGCAUUUUACAUGCAUUACUUCAUUGACCACCCCCCCACCCACAAUCACCCUGUGAGAUUGCCACUACUAUCCCAUUUUACAGAAAAAGUGAAAAACAAGUUGAAGUAACGUGCCCACAGGUACACAGUAUGCUUAACUUUACACUAAGGGUACCUUGUAUGUAGCUUCACCAACUUUCUCAGCAUAAUUUUUCAUCUAUCUGUGUUGAGACGUAACUCUUUCAUAUUCACUUUCCAAGGACCAAAAACAACCCAUUUAUUUAUCCAUUCUUCUGCUGAUGAAAUGCAGGCUUUUCCCAAUCUUGCUACCUAAACAAUACUUCAGUGAAGUCUUAAAAUCAUUCUCUGUUCACAUGGCACUUCUCUAGGAUGCAUCCAGGAGUAGUUGCUGGGUGGUUAAGUGCACACAACCUUCCAAGAUUUUGCAAAUUGCCUGGCACAAUAUUUCUCACAAUUUCUACUCAUAAAGCAGUGUGAAUUAUCGUUGUUCCACGCACUUACCCACACUUGGGCUUUCAAAAAUGUGCCAGCUUUCUGAGUGUGAGAUGGUCUGUAUUAUUUUACAUUUCAGUCAGUCUUGGUCAGCAGGGGUGGGGCAGACCACACUGAACAGGUGACAGAAAGACCUUCAAAUACCCACUCCAGCCAUCUGGCUCUCCUCAACCCCAACUUCAGUUCCUCCAAGGGAGUGGGGGAAAGGUGGGAAGGGUUGGAAGGAAACUGAAUGUUCUCCAGGCCAGGAUGAGAUGCAAGAUGAGACCUGGUGCUCAGGGCAAUCAGAAACUGUCAACUGAAGCCAAACAGCUCAGAACCACCCACAGCCGGGUUCCUAACCAGCAGGUGUGUGUUUGUGGGUGGCUUCCAGUCAACAUUUCACCCCACAGCCCCUUAAAAAAAACCCAACCCUGACUCAGCCAAACUAAAUUCAGCUUCAGAUUCCUUAACAGAGGUAAUUUUGUGCAAGAUAUUUUCUGCAUGGCAAACAGAUAAAUAAGCACCCAACCCUGGCUUCCAGAGUGCUUGGUCUGGCUAUGGAGAUGGGCAUAACCAAAAACACAAACAUCACCUGACAUAGGAACCAAGAGAGGUGGGGCCACGGGUUUAGAGGCACAAGGGUCAGACAAGGUCAGGCCUUGAAGAAUGAAGAGCUGAACUGGCAGAGAGAGGGGUGUGGCACUCCAGGUGAAGGGAGGCAGCACAAGGCAGAACACUCUGGGGGGCUGGCAUGGGGAAGGGACAGGAAAGCCAAAUCCAACAUUGAUUCUGCCAAAAUCUUUAGUAGUUAGCACCAAGUAGUCAGGCUUCUACUUUUUUUCCUUUCAGCUAAUCUGAAUUCAUUAAUAUUUAUAUAAUUAUAGUACUUAUAGAACUAAAAUUAUUUGAAAACUCAGGUUAUUGGACAAAUAGGUUCAGUAUAAUCCCAAAUAUAAACAGCUUACUUCAGGAUAAAAUAAUUUCUGUUCUUUUGGCCGGGCACAGUGGCUCACACCUGUAAUCCCAGCAUUUUGGGAGGCCGAGGCGGGUGGAUCACGACGUCAGGAGAUCGAGACCAUCCUGGAGAUCGAGACCAUCCUGGAGAUCGAGACCAUCCUGGCUAACACAGUGAAACCCCGUCUCUACUAAAAAUAUAAAAAAUAACCCAGGCGUGGUGGCAGGCACUUGUAGUCCCAGCUACUGAGGAGGCUGAGGCAGGAGAAUGGUGUGAGCCCAGGAGGCAGAGCUUGCAGUGAGCGGAGAUCGCGCCACUGCACUCUAGCCUGGGUAACAGAGUGAGACUCCGUAUCAAAAAAAAAAAAAAAUUCAGUUUUUCACUUCAUUCUUUGCACAUUUUAAAAUUUGAUUAGAAUGUUUAGAAAUAAGCACAUUUCAUUCUAUAAAAAUGACAGGUCAGGCACAGUGGCUCACGCCUGUAAUCCCAGCACUUUGGGAGGCAGAGGUGGGUGGAUUGCUUGAGCCCAGGAGUUUGAGACCAGCAUGAGCAACAUGGGAAAAAAAAAUAAAAGUUUUGUCUCUACAAAAAAAUAUAAAAAAUUAGCUGGCAGGGUGGCACACACCUGUAGCCCCAGCUACUCGGGAGGCUCAGAUGGGACCUGAGCCUGGGAGGUCAAGGCUGCAGUAAGCUGUGAUCCUGCCACUGCACUCCACCCUGGGCAACCCUGUCUCAAAAAAUAAAAAAGACAGUAAAAAUAUCCCUAUACUGGGGCAGGAACUUUACAAGGUAUCCUGUGGCAAAGGGAGCAGAGAUGGGGGGAAAGGGGUGCUAAAAGUUUGAUUGGAAAGGGACUUUUCCAUGGUUACAACACCAACUGACAUGGAAGCUGCACCUCUGAGAGGGCCCUGGUCCUAGAGGUCAACCACCUGAUGGAGAGCCUUGGUAAACCAAGCCCUCUUUCACCAAUCUCAGGAAUCAGGUAGCACAGCCAAGCACUCUAACUUCACACAUAAGGAAAUUGAUGCAGAGGUUCAUUGACUUGCUCAAGAUCAAUCCUGCCAAGAAAAGGCACACCAUGCCUGGAACCCAGAUCUGAUGACUCCAAGACCCUUCCUAUGACUCUGGCCCCCCUGCCCAGCCACUUCUAGUGCCAGUUUUGGGACAGUGAAGGGACAUCUUCAGUGCCAUGAACAGCUGCUGCCGUAGGAAGGCAAGAGGAUGGCAGAACCAAGAUGACCAAACCUUCCUGAGGACAAAGCUGAACAGGCAUCAGAACACCAACAGGAGACUUCUGCCCCGCCCCCACCAUCCUGUGACACCACCACACAAUAUCAGAGCCUUCAUUUUCACCUGCUCAUGGCAAUCCAGAGCAGGUAAGAUUAUUCCAUACUCUACUGAAAAAGACAUCUUCCAGGUUGGUUUCUUCUCAUUUCAAGAAAUGACCAGCUCCAUGAACGGGCCCCUAUAGUCAGGACACUGCUCUACUAUUAAAACAUUUUAUCCUUUCAUUCAUAAUCUGACCUCUUCAAUAAUCAGAAGCAAUGAUUACUCACAUGCUUUAGCAAUAUCACUCCUUUGCCUUUAAGUAAUUGAUUCUUGCUUUUUGCUUCAACACAAGUGGGUGGGCCAGUGAGGGAGCUCCUCCCAGAACAGGCUGCCUUUUCUCCUGAGAGCAGCAGGCACAUGCACUUGUUCCUUCGGGUUGAAUCUGAUUGCUAGCACCAGAUCUCAUACAUGGAGAGGGGUAUGUGAAGCUGAGAGGGGCCUGCAGUGUGCAGGGGCUAGAGACAUGAACACAACAAUGGUAAGCGUUUAUAUCUGCUGAGGCCGAGGAUCCUAUAGAAAAUUCAGAAACGGAGUGGGGAGGAGUCUGAUUUAUGGGAACUGGCAGCAAGGCUAACUGCAUGAGAAGCCUUUCACCCUUUUACUGAGUCCUUGGAUCUGUGGUUAACCCUUAUAAAAUAUAAUUCAGAUUCAAACCACAUCACUCCUCAACUCAAAAUUGUCCAAAAGCUCCCUGCCUCCCUCUGAGCCAGCUCAAGCCCCCGUAAUGACCCAUGAUGCUCAUAUGGCCGGGCCUGUGGCCUCCCUGGCCCCUCUCCUUCCCUUCCAGCUGGCUCCCUGCACUCCAUCCCAGGGGCUUCCUUCCUGAGGACACCAGUCAAGACCCAAUCUCCUCUGCCUGCAACUCUCCCUAGAGAGCUACCUGCUACCUCCCUGGCUUCCUUCACGUCUUUGCUCACAUUUCACCUUCUCAGUUGAGGCCCUCCCUGACCAGACUAUCUAAAAUCACGACUGAUCUCCCAAUCCAGCACUCCCUCUGCUCUUCUCUGAUUCACUUUGUCCACUACACACAUCACCAUCCAGAAUACUGCGUAUCCCAUUUGUUUGUCAUCUGUAAAGAUCCAAGAUGGCAGGAUUUUCAUCUGUUCUGGUCCCUGCUGGGUCUCUGGCAAACACACCAGCGCCUGGUGUAUGGGAGUGCUCAGCACAUUUCUGUUAAACAGAUGGACCGCUGCUGCCUAUGCAGGCCUGUGGGAUGGGGAUGGCAACAGGGUACUGGUAGAGAUCCACACGCCAAGCGCUUGAGCCCAGCAUCCUGCUCUCCUCCACCUGCCGCUGAGACCACUCUAACCCCCUAGCAGAUAUCCAAAAGCCAGCCAGGAAGGCUGAAGCCCCAGCCAGAACUCCCCAGGGGGCAUUUGGGAAGGCUAGGAGUUCUUGAUGCUGCUGCUUUUAAAGUCAACAGAAUAGGCAUGGCCACAGGCCAAACUUGAAGACAAAUCUAGGAUCCCACUGGCCCCUUUCCAGCAGCCAUAGCCCAUGAUGCCACAGAUAUUCUGUCCAACCACAAAGGGCAGUGGUCUCUCUCUUCAGAGUUGUGGAAGGAGACCUGAAUAGGGGAGCCGCAGGCUAUGGUGCAGAGGCCACUCCUAGGGGCCGGAGUCUCCAGAAGGGCUCCAAAGGACAUGGUGCUGCACUUCCCCAGCGUCACAUCCUAGCAGGCAGGCUGGGGACUCCCCGAGCUUUCAAAUCCUUGGGAUUCUGUCACUAGCUUCCAAAACAGAAAGGGCUGGGCCCUUUAUCAAAGUUACUCCACAAUGCCUAUAAUUAAGGGUUCUCUAGCAGGGGACUGAGAACCCACCCCCACUGUCACUGUCAGGUCCCAGGCUAAUCUCUAAUAUGGUUUUUCAUAUGCCGAGCCAGGUUCGAAGACCACCUGAAGGUCUUUCCACACUUGCUGCAUUUGAAGGGCCUCUCUCGAGUAUGAAAUCUCUUGUGGCUAAUGAGUUGUGAACUCUUGUUAAAAGUUUUCCCACAUAUGCUGCAUUUGUGGCACUUUUUCCCAAUGCUUAUGUCCUGGAGUCCAGUGAGCCUGGAGCUCUGGCUGCAAGCUUCUUUGCAGUCUUCGAGGGGCAUCUCUUCACUUGGUUUUAGCUUCUGUAAUCUCAACUUUGUGUCCUGAGAGGAAGACCGUGCAGGCGGGCUACGUUCAGCCUGUGCUGCUCUGGUGUGUUUCCUCUGGUGACUGGAAAGGGUAUGUCUCCCAAUGAACUCUUUCCCACACCACUGACAUUUGAAAGGUCUCUCUGUAGAGUGGAUCCUCUGAUGGUUAACAAGGCGAUAGUUUCUAUCAUAAGAUUUCCCACAUAGAUUACAUUUAUAGCGCUUCUCUCCACUGUGUAUUCCCUUAUGAUCUAAAAGGGUUCUUUUACGUGUAAAGGUUUUCCCACAUUCUUGACACCAAAAACGUUUCUCACCAGUGAGGAUUUUUGGCUCCACAUUUGGAGUCUUUUCACUUUCAUGGCAAUCAUACUGUUUUUGAAGAGAGUGAAUCCUCUGAUGUCGGUAGAGAUUGGAACUCCAUCUGAAGGCUUUCCCACACUCCCUGCACUUAUAUGGCUUCUCUCCAGUGUGAACUCUCUGAUGGAUGAGGAGGAAUGAGUGAUUGCGGAAGGCCUUGCCACACUGGCUGCAUUUGUAGGGCUCCUCUUUGGAGUGACUGCUCUGAGGAACCUGGAACACUGUGUCCUGACUAAAAGAUGGCCCGCCCUCAGGUUUUCUUUUCAUGGCAUGCUUCUUCUUAUGAACAAUAAAGGCUGACCUAUAGGCAAAGUCCUUCCCACAAUCGCUACACUGGUAAGGUUUCUCACCUGUGUGAAUUCUCUGGUGGUCAACGAGAGUUUUCUUUCUAGUAAAAGUUUUCCCACACUGCUGACACAGAAAUGUUUUCUCCACAGCGGGAGCACCCUGGGGCUGACUGCAGUCAGGAGAUUGCCUGAAGCCUUCACGACAUUCAUCUUGUUUGUAGAAUUUUUCCUCCUCAUGCAACCUCAUAUGACGAGUAAAGUUUGAUCUCCAUCUAAAGGUUUUCCUACAUUUGGUACAUUUAUAGGGCUUCUCCUGGGUGUGAAUCCUUUGAUGUUCAAGAACAUAUGACUUACAGUGGAAGGAUUUCCUGCACUGGCUGCAGUCAAAGAGUUUCUCCCCACUUUGGUCUCCCAAAUGAUGAUCAAACCCUGAGCUGUAGGUGAGAGCUGCCCUAUACUGAUUCAAUUCAAGAAAUUUCUUCUUAGCAUGGGUUUCUCGGUGCAGACGGUAGGCUGACAGGCGUCGGAAAGCUUUCUCACAUAAAUCGCAUUUAUAAGGCUUCACUCCAGUGUGAAUUUUCUCAUGCCGCGCACAGUUGGAACUCCACCGGAAGGCUUUCCCACACACCCUACAUUUAAAUGCUUUCUCUUGAGUGUGAAGUCUCUGAUGAUACGCAAGAUGGGAGCUAUGACUGAAAGUCCUUCCACAGUCACUGCACUUAAAUGACACUCCCACUGUGUGAAGACUCUGCCCACGUUGGUGAUGAGAGCUAAGGCUGAAGUCUUUUCCACACACGUCCUUUUUGUUCCCUUUCAGUCCACUAUGAAUUCUCUGAUGUAGGCUGAAGCCCCCAAUCAUGUGUCUGAGCCCCUUCCCAUAUUUCUUGUAGUCAUAGUGGUGUGAACUCAUUCUGAAGUGUUUGCCACAGCCAUGUUUAAGGGAUUCCUUUCUUCCAGAAACUCUCAAAUAUGUAACAUGUUUUAAGUCAAGACUAUUACUUCCUGAUACUUCAGAGUCUUUUCCUGUCCUGUGACUGAAAUUGGUCUCUUCUUUCUUAACUCUUACUUGUAUGGGAUUUUCACAUUGAUCCUUCUGCCUGCUCUUCUGUUGAAAAGAUUCUCUGAGCCCAAUUCCCUCAGAAACACUUGUCGCAGGACAUCCUGAUGACACAGCUAAGGUUUCUGCUUCUUCCAAAGGUUCCUGAUUUAAGAUGAAUUUGUUUGUUUUACUCUGGAGGUCAUCUCCUGACAAAAAAUAUAACACAAGAGAAUGUACUCUUUUCCCAUACUUGGAACUGCAGAAAGC